GUGAAUUCACAAUUCUCUGCAUCCCCAUUAGCAGAGAAGAAAAUUCAAGAAGAUCACGUAACAAUUGAAAGAUCAAAACUAACCAAACCAUUGAAAUCCAUGGAUCAGGGUACGUUUCCACUUUAAUCUUCUAUUUGAUUUCAAGAUGGAGCAUUUAUGAAAUUUAUGAAAGGAUUUGAUGAAUUUUCGAUGCUUUUCAAUUUCUUACAAGUGGUAUUAGAACACUCCAUUGUUGAAUCUUUGAGAAAUUGCAAGAAUUAGGAGUUUUACAGUUUUUGUAUUGUGGGUCAUUUUUUAUCUUUUGUAAUGAUAUUGUAUGAAAUAUAAAUCUUGUAAUAUUCUAAGGAUUUUUAGAUUUGACAAUUUUGGAUCCCUUUUUGUUGAAUUUGAAAAUCAUUUGGCACAUUAUUCAUGGUUAUUUUUCUAGAUUUGGAUUAAAGUUUUGAAGUUUCUAUAUAUGGUUUUGGGUUUUAAAAAAAAAAGAUGUUUCUGGAUCUAGUUGGCGACAGCACUGCGUUUUGCAGCAGCGUGGGCCUGGUUUGAAGAGCAGCACCGAUUGCCGAUGCCAUUAAUGAG
rnacentral:lncRNA from 1 species